ACUCCUACGGGAGGCAGCAGUGGGGAAUAUUGGACAAUGGGCGCAAGCCUGAUCCAGCCAUGCCGCGUGAGUGAUGAAGGCCCUAGGGUUGUAAAGCUCUUUCACCGGUGAAGAUAAUGACGGUAACCGGAGAAGAAGCCCCGGCUAACUUCGUGCCAGCAGCCGCGGUAAUACGAAGGGGGCUAGCGUUGUUCGGAUUUACUGGGCGUAAAGCGCACGUAGGCGGACUAUUAAGUCAGGGGUGAAAUCCCGGGGCUCAACCCCGCAACUGCCUUUGAUACUGGUAGUCUUGAGUUCGAGAGAGGUGAGUGGAAUUCCGAGUGUAGAGGUGAAAUUCGUAGAUAUUCGGAGGAACACCAGUGGCGAAGGCGGCUCACUGGCUCGAUACUGACGCUGAGGUGCGAAAGCGUGGGGAGCAAACAGGAUUAGAAACCCCGGUAGUCCCAUGA
rnacentral:rRNA from 1 species